AGAGUUUGAUCCUGGCUCAGAACGAACGUUGGCGGCGUGGAUUAGGCAUGCAAGUCGCGGGAAUCCCCAGCAAUGGGGGGAACCGGCGUAAGGGGCAGUAAGGCGUGGGUAACCUACCCUGGGAUCUGGCAUAGCCCGUCGAGAGACGGGGUAAUUCCAGGCGACGUCGCGAUGGGGCAUCCUGUUGCGAUCAAAGGUCCGCCGUCCCGGGAGGGGCCCACGUGAUAUUAGCUAGUUGGUGGGGUGACGGCCCACCAAGGCGAAGAUGUCUAGCGGGUGUGAGAGCACGACCCGCGCCACUGGCACUGAGACACUGGCCAGACACCUACGGGUGGCUGCAGUCGAGGAUCUUCGGCAAUGGGGGCAACCCUGACCGAGCGACGCCGCGUGUGCGACGAAGGCCUUCGGGUUGUAAAGCACUGUCGAGGGGGAGGAAAGCCCGCAAGGGUGUGACCUAUCCCUGGAGGAAGCACGGGCUAAGUUCGUGCCAGCAGCCGCGGUAAGACGAACCGUGCGAACGUUGUUCGGAAUCACUGGGCUUAAAGGGCGCGUAGGCGGGCCGUCAGGCCCGCGGUGAAAUCCCCCGGCUCAACCGGGGAAGUGCCGCGGGGACCGGCGGUCUGGAGUGAGAUAGGGGCGUGCGGAACUGUGGGUGGAGCGGUGAAAUGCGUUGAUAUCCACAGGAACUCCGGUGGCGAAGGCGGCACGCUGGAUCUCGACUGACGCUGAGGCGCGAAAGCCAGGGGAGCGAACGGGAUUAGAUACCCCGGUAGUCCUGGCCCUAAACGUUGGGGACUGGGUAGCAGGCCGGACAUGGGCUUGCUGCCGGAGCGAAAGUGUUAAGUCCCCCGCCUGGGGAGUAUGGUCGCAAGGCUGAAACUUAAAGGAAUUGACGG
rnacentral:rRNA from 1 species